GCACUUUUACCUUAGCAGGCCAUUGUCACCUUAACAGUCUGAGAGGCAAAUGAAGUCUGUGCAGUAGCGAAGACCAGGAGCUGAACUGGUCAGGUAAUUGCAAAAUUGCAAGACAGCACCAUCUGAGAAAAUGAACAACAUUGGCCUUCCUGCAGUCAUUUGCUACCUUGUUCUCGAGGGCCUAUCACCCAAGGAGGUCCACAAGGACGUGGUGGUGACACCAGAGGACAGUGCAGCCUCUUACAGCGUGGUGACAAAGGAGGCUGUCGAGUGUGGCAGAGAGGCUCUGGAAGAUGACCCUAAUCGUAGAAGGCCUCUCACCACGCAGGAGAUCACUGACAAGAUCCAUGACAUGAUCCAGGAAGAGACUAUGUUGAACAUUGGAAUGUGCCAGAUUUUCAAAAAUUACUCAACGACCACAAGAUCUGCAGCAACAACUGCUCCCUACAGUAUGUGGGUGUAAGGAAACAAAACAAAGAUAGAGACACACAGUCUGAGAGUGAGUGUGCCUUGAUAGCACAGUGUGUGUGUGUGUUUUCCAGUAAAGGCUGACUCACUGACUCAGUCAUUCUAGUCAUUUUAAAGAUUAGCCCAUUUUACAAGCUGAGCAUAAACACUGUGUGCAGAAAAUGCUUUUUAGCUUUUAUGUGGCACAGGUCUGAUCAUGUCUUAGUGGAUCUGCUCUUCUUAACUUUCUACUUUCAUUUUCUGAUGCUGACACCCAUGUAAAAGCACCGAAAAGGCUGUGGAAUAUGGAAAACAAUAAAUGGAUGACAAAUCAACACAUA